rnacentral:rRNA from 1 species
GCCAGCAGCUGUACCACCCUGCAAUGCACAACUGGUGACCCAUUGAAACUAAUCAGGUGUGGGCCUGGCCAGUACCUGGAUGGGAGACCUCCUGGGAAAGCUAAGGGUGAUGCUAGAA